rnacentral:misc_RNA from 1 species
UCCGGUUUGGCACCGGCAGUCCUCCCAGAGUCCUCGCCAUGACGCGUUAGCAACUGGGAGCGGGGGUUGCGCUCGUUGCGGGACUUAACCCAACAUCUCACGACACGAGCUGACGACAGCCAUGCAGCACCUGUCUUGGGACUCCGAAGAGGGGCCGUGGUUUCUCACGGCUUUCCCCAAGAUGUCAAGCCCAGGUAAGGUUCUUCGCGUUGCGUCGAAUUAAACAACACGCUCCACCGCUUGUGCGGGUCCCCGUCAAUUCCUUUAUGUUUUAGUCUUGCGACCGUACUCCACAGGCGGGAUGCUUAACGCGUUAGCUUCGCUACUACACGGAGACUAUAUAACUCCAGACACCAAGCAUCCAUCGUUUAAGGCCAGGACUAC